rnacentral:rRNA from 1 species
CAGUAGCCGCGGGAAUACGAAGGGGGCUAGCGUUGUUCGGAUUUACUGGGCGUAAAGCGCACGUAGGCGGACUUUUAAGUCAGGGGUGAAAUCCCGGGGCUCAACCCCGGAACUGCCUUUGAUACUGGAAGUCUUGAGUAUGGUAGAGGUGAGUGGAAUUCCGAGUGUAGAGGUGAAAUUCGUAGAUAUUCGGAGGAACACCAGUGGCGAAGGCGGCUCACUGGACCAUUACUGACGCUGAGGUGCGAAAGCGUGGGGAGCAAACAGGAUUAGAUACCCCUGUAGUCCCUGUCUCUUAUAA